rnacentral:lncRNA from 1 species
UCCUGCAGAAGUAAAAAUACCACACAAAAAAUCCUCAGGGAAACUAAUGCAAAUAAAACCAAAAUUUGUUGCUUCAAAUGCUUCUAUUUCAUGUCUUGUACAUAUGUAUUCUUUAUUUUGGUUUUGGGGCAGGCAGAUGUUUACAGAGGGAAGGCAGCACUACUAAUGCAAGAAGAGAUGAUGUGUGACAAUUGACAAACAUGUCCAAAGAAAGAAAACAAAUCAUUAUUCUUAUUCCAUUUUCCAAUCUACAAUAAGCAUAUAUGAUCUUAAAUCCAUAUUGAUUUUUGAAUCAGAUAAAAAAACAUUUUCGUCGAGGAUUAGAUGAAAUUCUUUAAUCGGUUCCUAUCAACUAAACAUGUAAAUCACAGAAAUUAAAAUAUACAUCUCACCG